UACAGAGGGUGCAAGCGUUGUUCGGAAUUAUUGGGCGUAAAGAGCUCGUAGGCGGUUUGUUGCGUCGGCUGUGAAAUCCCGAGGCUCAACCUCGGGUCUGCAGUCGAUACGAGCAAACUAGAGUGUUGCAGGGGAGACUGGAAUUCCUGGUGUAGCGGUGAAAUGCGCAGAUAUCAGGAGGAACACCGGUGGCGAAGGCGGGUCUCUGGGCAACAACUGACGCUGAGGAGCGAAAGCGUGGGGAGCGAACAGG
rnacentral:rRNA from 1 species